rnacentral:rRNA from 1 species
CAAGUCGAACGCGAAAGUUCCCUUCGGGGGGCAAGUAGAGUGGCGCACGGGUGAGUAACACGUAGGUAAUCUACCUUUGGAUUGGGAAUAACCACCGGAAACGGUGGCUAAUACCGAAUAAUGCAGCGGCACCUAAUGGUGACAGUUGUUAAAGCGGGGGAUCGUAAGACCUCGCGUCUGAAGAGGAGCCUGCGGCAGAUUAGCUAGUUGGUAAGGUAACGGCUUACCAAGGCGAUGAUCUGUAGCCGGCCUGAGAGGGCGGUCGGCCACACUGACACUGACAUACGGGUCAGACUCCUACGGGAGGCAGCAGUCGGGAAUUUUGGGCAAUGGGCGAAAGCCUGACCCAGCAACGCCGCGUGAAGGAUGAAAUCCUUCGGGAUGUAAACUUCGCAAGAACGGGAAGAAUAAGUAAGAGUUAAUAUCUCUUACGAUGACGGUACUGUUUGUAAGCUCCGGCUAACUCCGUGCCAGCAGCCGCGGUAAUACGGGGGGAGCAAGCGUUGUUCGGAUUUACUGGGCGUAAAGGGCGCGUAGGCGGCCACCGCAAGUCGACUGUGAAAUCUCCGGGCUUAACCCGGAAAGGUCAGCCGAUACUGCGGGGCUAGAGUGCAGAAGGGGCAACUGGAAUUCUCGGUGUAGCGGUGAAUGCGUAGAUAUCGAGGGGAACACCUGCGGCGAAGGCGGGUUGCUGGGCUGACACUGACGCUGAUGCGCGAAAGCUAGGGGAGCGAACGGGAUUAGAUACCCCGGUAGUCCUAGCCUUAA